UGACCCUUAUUAAUCUAUUUUCUCUGUGUUUUAAUUACUGGAGAGGUUAAUUAACGUGUACCAAUCUGUCAGUCCACAUCUCAUAGUUAUUUCCGCGGUCAGUCCCGGGUGCAAUGACAGGCAAUUAGAUGUCAAUUACCCCUGUUUUGACCCUUAUUAAUUUAUUUUCUAUGUGUUUUGAUUACUUAAGAGGUUUACAGCGUGUACCAUCCUGUUAUUCCCAAUCACUAUUAUCGUAUCAUCUACCAGACACUUCCGUGGUCCCGGGUGCAAUGACAGGCAAUUAGAUGUCAAUUACCCCUGUUUUGACCCUUAUUAAUUUAUUUUCUAAGUGUUUUGAUUACUUAAGAGGUUUACAGCGUGUACCAUCCUGUUAUCCCCAAUCACUAUUAUCGUAUCAUCUACCAGUCACUUCCGUGGUCCCGGGUGCAAUGACAAAGGCGAGUCUGGAUGCGUCAAGUGUUUACCUUCCUGCCGGCGGGACAUAUUUGGCUCCCAGAUGGCCAUUAUGCAAGGCAGGGCCGCGGCCUUUUUACCGAGGGUGCCGAGAGUGCCAGAGUAUAUCAGGACCGGGCGGGACCUGCUUGGGGGGGGAAGGGAAGGGAGGCAGGGAGGACGGGGCAGAAGCAGUGUUGCCAUAUCAUCGUACUCAGCAUUGCAAGGAGGCCCAAAACUGUCGGACACACAAAUAAUGACAGACAAUUAAAGUUAUUCUUAAAACCGUAAAUUACAGACAGAGUUAAUCAGGAACAGGUUGAAGGGGACGGAAAGAGAGGCAGGGAGGACGGGGUGUUAACAUAUAUAUUGCACUCCGAGGUUUGCAUACGAGUUCCCGAGCAAAGCAAUUUGAUUUCUGGUCUGAUUUCUGGUUGAUCGCUGAGUGGUGGAUGAGUGGAACAGGCCUGGCAGUUAUGAGAAUGGGCAGUGUUAACAUAUAUAUCGCAUUUCCAAGUCUGCAUUCGAGUUCCCGAGCAUAGCAAAUUGAUUUCUGGUCUGAUUUCUGGUUGAUCGCUGAGUGGUGGAUGAGUGGAACAGGCCUGGCAGUCAUGGAGGGGCAGUACGUGUUAACAUAUAUAUUAGAUUUCCAAGUUUGCAUCCGAGUUCCCGAGCAUAGCAAAUUGAUUUCUGGUUGAUCGCUGAGUGGUGGAUGAGUGGAACAGGCCUGGCAGUCAUUAGAAUGGGCUGUGUUAACAUAUAUAUUAGAUUUCCAAGUUUGUAUACGAGUUCCCGAGCAUAGCAAACUGAUUUCUGGUCUGAUUUCUGGUUGAUCGCUGAGUGGUGGAUGAGUGGAACAGGCCUGGCAGUCAUGAGAAGGGGCAGUGUUAACUUAUAUAUCGCAUUUCCAAGUCUGCAUUCGAGUUCCCGAGCAUAGCAAAUUGAUUUCUGGUCUGAUUUCUGAUUGAUCGCUAAGUGGUGGAUGAGUGGAACAGGCCUGGUAGUCAUGAGAAGGGGCAGUUAACAUAUAUAUUAGAUUUCCAAGUUUGUAUACGAGUUUCCGAGCAUAGCAAAUUGAUUUCUGGUCUGAUUUCUGGUUGAUCGCUGAGUGGUGGAUGAGUGGAACAGGCCUGGCAGUCAUUAGAAGGGGCAGUGUUAACAUAUAUAUUAGAUUUCCAAGUUUGCAUUCGAGUUCCCGAGCAUAGCAAAUUGAUUUCUGGUCUGAUUUCUGAUUGAUCGCUGAGUGGUGGAUGAGUGGAACAGGCCUGGCAGUCAUGAGAAGGGGCAGUAUUAACAUAUAUAUUAGAUUUCCAAGUUUGCAUACGAGUUUCCGAGCAUAGCAAAUUGAUUUCUGGUCUGAUUUCUGGUUGAUCGCUAAGUGGUGGAUGAGUGGGACAGGCCUGGCAGUCAUGAGAAGG